AGCUUUGCACAGUGGCAGUAUCGUAGCCUAUGAGGUUUAUCUGAGGCAUGAUUAUUGCUAAUUGAAAAUUUUUCCCAGAGAG
rnacentral:snRNA from 1 species